GGCGACGACGGGUAGCCGGCCUGAGAGGGCGACCGGCCACACUGGGACUGAGACACGGCCCAGACUCCUACGGGAGGCAGCAGUGGGGAAUAUUGCACAAUGGGCGAAAGCCUGAUGCAGCGACGCCGCGUGAGGGAUGACGGCCUUCGGGUUGUAAACCUCUUUCAGCAGGGAAGAAGCGAAAGUGACGGUACCUGCAGAAGAAGCGCCGGCUAACUACGUGCCAGCAGCCGCGGUAAUACGUAGGGCGCAAGCGUUGUCCGGAAUUAUUGGGCGUAAAGAGCUCGUAGGCGGCUUGUCACGUCGGGUGUGAAAGACCGGGGCUUAACCCCGGUUCUGCAUUCGAUACGGGCUAGCUAGAGUGUGGUAGGGGAGAUCGGAAUUCCUGGUGUAGCGGUGAAAUGCGCAGAUAUCAGGAGGAACACCGGUGGCGAAGGCGGAUCUCUGGGCCAUUACUGACGCUGAGGAGCGAAAGCGUGGGGAGCGAACAGGAUUAGAUACCCUGGUAGUCCACGCCGUAAACGGUGGGAACUAGGUGUUGGCGACAUUCCACGUCGUCGGUGCCGCAGCUAACGCAUUAAGUUCCCCGCC
rnacentral:rRNA from 1 species